CUGCGGCGGCCGGGAGGUGCCGCGCUCCCGGGCACACCUGGCGGCCUGGGACGCGGAGACUCGCAGCUCGUUCGCUUGAUGUUCCGCUCAGCUCUGCCCACGCUGGCUGUCCAUCUCCCGGAACUGCAUUUCCAGGUUACACACAAAAUGCAGCCUGAACUCCUGGUCAGUCACACGUUUCCAAAGAUGGAAGGAAAGCAGCUUCUUGCAGGGAGGAGGUGGGCGUGGCCGGGGCCUACAGAGCCGGGGGCAGCUUCUCUGAAUACACGAAGCAGACCCUGUGUGAUCUUUGCCUUCCGGUAACAGGACAGUCCACAUUAGGCUGUUGACCGUGCAGAGCGCAGCUGGGCCCCAAGCCUGUGUUGGCUUCUCAGCAGCGAAAGUGAUGGGGAGGGUUGUACAUCAUCCUCCUGCCUAGAACCAAGGAGGGCCCACGGGCUGGUCCUGCGCGUGGACAUCAGAGCUCCUGCAGAGGCCAACCAGCCAGGGCCUGUUUGCUCCCUGCAUAUGGGCGAGAUCAACCCAAAAGCUUAGCCGAGAUUCUGGGAAGCAGUGAGAGCGGGUGGCCCUUGAGAUCUGGGGGCCACGAAGGCCUGUGCCGUCUGCAGCUAGGAGCGGGUGUGGGGUCCUGGCCCUGGGCCACUGUCCUGGGCCUGCUGUUGGGAGACCUUGGGGCUGUGAAUGAAGGUCUCCAGUGGGCAGUGGGGGUGGGUGACAGUCUCUUCCUGUCCUCAGGAGGCCUUAAAGACUGGGUGUGUAGGAGCCAGAUUCCUGCUAAAAGUCAGCCAACGAAAGCCACCUCCCAUAAAUGCCUGGUAAGAAGAAUCAGUGGACCUCCUCAGCCCACCCCCGCCCCGGGGCUCAUGGGGAAGCAGGGUAACUGCUCUGGAAAUGGAAGUGCUGCCAGGGGAGGGGUAGAUCGUGUGGCCCUCCUACCAGCUUCGUUCCUGCUGGGCUGGAGCUCUCCCUGAUGGAAUGUGCUGCAUCUUCUCUGUUCUCCUGCCCCCUCUGCCGUGGGGUCUGGGGUCUCAGCUAAGACCUCAGUGGCCCUGAGGUCCCCGUGCCGCACCUCAGCAGCACGUGACCACCCCGCCCCCAGCCUGUGGUGCCCAUGUUACACCUGAGCCGGGUGCUCCUCACCCUUCCCCCACAGGCCUGCGGCAGCUCAGCCACAGCUCAGCCUGUGUCCCCCGAGGCCCCAGGCCCGGGCUUGUCGGACACGGUGCCUGGUGGGGGAGGUGCUGGGUGCACCAGGUUCCCGCGUCCAGGCCCUGGGCCUCGCGUGCUGGUGCUGACCUGCCCGUGCACCUACUGGCUUUGGCUCUCCUUUGACCACGUGUCCCUGCGGCCUCUCCCCCCGGCUCCUCCCUAGACCACAGCCUCUGAAGGGAGCCGAGGGAUCUCCCCCAUCCUGGCUCUCCCCCGAAGCUGUAGCCUGGCUUUGCUCCAUUGUCCAUCCAAGGGCAGGAACGGAUGGACAGCCUGUGAAAAGGUAAAAUGAGUAAAUAUCUCAGGACUUUCUGCUUCCAGAAACGAAUUUGAUCUCUGUAAACACGGUUCCUGUCUCAGGGCAGUUAAACCAGGCCUCCUGCUGUCUACAGGCCAGAGGGGGUCCUGCCUGCCCCCCCCUCCUCUUGCAGGUGUGGGCCUUGCAGAGAGGCUGUCCUUGCUGGCCGUGACCCCCGUCCAGAGGAGAUGAGAAGUUGAUCACAGUACGGCCUCGGGAGAGCCAGGCGUCCUGCCGUCAUCCAGGCUGAUGCUCUGGGGGACCUUGAGAGGGUUUUAUAGGCUGGUCAUCACAGCACGGCCUCGGGAGAGCCAGGAGUCCUGCCAUCAUCCAGGCUGAGGCGCUGGGUGGUCAUCUACUCCCUGGCUUUGGCACCCCGAUCUGUUUCGUGUGUCUUCUGGCUUUUCAAGUGCACGGUGGCACGUAACACACGUUCAUUUGAAUCCUUGGGUUACGAGAGAAGCAGAAUGGAAGUUAAGUCUUCUGGUCGCCGAUGCCCCCGGCCCGCUGAGCAUGCAGCCGUGCUCAGAGUUUUUUGUUCUGAAGCUGGUCUCUGACAAGGGCCAGUGUCUCCAGCCCAGGUGGGGGGCAGGUCCUGCCGGCAGCCAAGGCCACAGGCUUUGAAACGGUUGAUGUGGAAGACCUUUCCCAGAGCCCUGGCCUGUCCGCAAGGGCCACCGUCCCUCGGUGGCACAGCCCCCCGCCUGGGCCGUGGCCGUGGCGACCCCCCCACCCCUCGAAACCCUCACCUCUUCCUCUGUAACCCAGGAGCUGGGCUCCAGCGGGGUCCGUGUGUGUUUCUGGCCAAGAGCGUCUGACGGUUUCGUCACAAUGUCCAAGACUCACGUGGAAGGGGACCAGGGGGUGAUGGGCUGGGAAGGGGAGAGACGUGGGCCAGGGAGAGGACGCCCUUCCUCCCAGGUGCUGUGUGGUGGUAGAGCCCAGGGCUGCAGGCGGGGCGGCGCUGGGCAGGAUUCUUGGGGGCUCCAUCUCACCGGUUCUGGGACCCACUGCGGUUGAGCGUUUCCUUGUGCUGUGCGUGUUGACAGCAGACCACAGUGGCCCUGGCGGGUGGGGGCGGGGCCAGGGCUUCACGUACUGUACGGGGACCUCUCACAGUGUCACCUCACGUGGAUCUGCCCUGGGGGCGGUAAUGAAGCGCGGGGGCUGUAUUUUGUGAUCUGGUGUCUGUUUCAGCGUGGGCCCCUGUGCUUGUGUAUCCUGGUUCAGGCAUUUGAAAACGUCUGGUGUCUGCAGCAUCUGGAUGGAGGAGCUGUGCCCUGCUCUGAACGGCCGCUCAGCCCGGGGCAGCCGCUGUCCCUGUCCUCCAGGAGCUCACUUACCUCCGGCCGUGCGCUCCUUGAGGCCAGAGCCCGUGUCUGCCUCAGCACCGGCACCGGCAGCAGCAGCGGCAGCUCUGCAGGGCACCGGGCCCGUCACCCACGGCCCACAGCGCUCGCAGCGUCCCUGCUUGCCCGGCCCAGCCGCUCGCUGGGUUGAUCAGAGCAGCGUCCUGCGUUGUGUGCAUGCUUUCUGAAGUUGUUUGGAAUUGGGUUGGUUUUUUUUGGCGGAGCUGCGAGGCUUGUGGGAUCUCAGUCCCCUGACCGGGGAUUGAACCCGGGCCGCAGCAAUGAAAGCCCGGAAUCCUAACCACUAGGCCACCAGGGAGCUCCCUGGAAUUGGUCUAGUUUUAAUCAGAGUACUGCAAAUAAAAUGAAGAGGGUACAUA